UGCGAACUCCUACGGGAGGCAGCAGUGGGGAAUCUUCCGCAAUGGGCGAAAGCCUGACGGAGCAAUGCCGCGUGAGUGAAGAAGGCCUUCGGGUUGUAAAACUCUGUCCUUAUCGAAGAGAGAGUGUUGUAGUAACUGACAAUACUAGGACGGUAGAUGAGGAGGAAGCCCCGGCUAACUAUGUGCCAGCAGCCGCGGUAAAACAUAGGGGGCAAGCGUUGUCCGGAAUCACUGGGCGUAAAGGGCGCGCAGGCGGUAAAUUAAGUCAGGUGUGAAAGUUCGGGGCUCAACCCCGUGAUUGCACCUGAUACUGAUAAACUAGAGUGUUGGAGAGGUAAGUGGAAUUCCUAGUGUAGCGGUGGAAUGCGUAGAUAUUAGGAGGAACACCAGUGGCGAAGGCGACUUACUGGCCAAUAACUGACGCUGAGGCGCGAAAGCGUGGGGAGCAAACAGGAUUAGAUACCCUUGUAGUCCU
rnacentral:rRNA from 1 species